CACCCGCUAAUUUUUGCAUUUUUUUUUUUUUUGUAGGGGUGGGUUUAUGCCAUGUUACCCAGGCUGGUCUGAACUCCUGGGCUCAAGCAGUCCACCUGCCUCAGCCUCCUGAAGUGCUGGGAUUACAGGCAUGAGCCAUUGCACCCGGCCUUGGUUUCUUAAUGUAAUAGGCUGUUCUUUAAUUGUUUCAUAGCCUGCCUACCAACCCCAUCUAAGUGCAAUAUUGUUGGCAGGGCACCUGAUAAUAACUGUUUUACUUAUUCUUUCUUAAAAAAUUUAUUUAUUUAUUUAUUUAUUUAUUUAUUUAUUUAGACAGGGUCUUGCUUUGUGGCCCAGCCUGGAGUGCAUUAUAGCUCACUGCAGCUCUGACCUCACUGGCUCAAGUGAUCCUCCACCCUCAGCCUCCCGAGUAGCUGGGACUAUAGUAUUUUAGUGGACUGAAUCUCUCAGCCUGGCAUUCAAGGCCAGUCACAGUGUGACAUUCCAGCCUCCCAGUUGGAGCUCAGCUAACAACAAGCCAAGUCAGAAAGCUGCUCUGCAAGACUGAUUUGCCCAUUAUACUUCCCAAAUACCCUGCCUUCCUUUCCUGCUUCUGCUUUUGCCACACUGUUUUGGCUUUAGCAGGACAAACCAAGGAAUAAUAAAAUAGCCUGUCUUGUGA